rnacentral:sRNA from 1 species
AUGCACAUGUGUAUCGAUCCCGCCGGCAGUGAGGAUCUUCCCCUCCCCGGCGACCACUUCGGUGCCGGGACCAAUCACCAGGGCAGGGUCCACCCCGUCCAUGAUGUCCGGGUUGCCGGACUUCCCGAUCCCGGCGAUCCGGCCAUUCUUCACCCCCACGUCGGCGCGGACGAUUCCCCAGUGGUCAACGAUUACGACGUUGGUGAUGAUCAGGUCCGGUGCUCCACCGGCCGAGGACCGGGUGGACUGGGCCAUGGAUUC